rnacentral:rRNA from 1 species
CAGUUCGGAUCGGAGUCUGCAACCCGACUCCGUGAAGCUGGAUUCGCUAGUAAUCGCGCAUCAGCCAUGGCGCGGUGAAUACGUUCCCGGGCCUUGUACACACCGCCCGUCACACCAUGAGAGUUGGGAAUACCCGAAGCCUGUGAGCUAACUUUUACGAGGCAGCAGUCGAAGGUAGAAUCAAUGAUUGGGGUGAAGUCGUAACAAGGUACC